rnacentral:tRNA from 1 species
GGCUCCUUGGUCAAGCGGUUAAGACACCGCCCUUUCACGGCGGUAACACGGGUUCGAAUCCCGUAGGAGUCACCA